ACGUAGGGAGCGAGCGUUAUCCGGAUUUAUUGGGUGUAAAGGGUGCGUAGACGGGAAAUUAAGUUAGUUGUGAAAUCCCUCGGCUUAACUGAGGAACUGCAACUAAAACUGGUUUUCUUGAGUGCUGGAGAGGAAAGUGGAAUUCCUAGUGUAGCGGUGAAAUGCGUAGAUAUUAGGAGGAACACCAGUGGCGAAGGCGACUUUCUGGACAGUAACUGACGUUGAGGCACGAAAGUGUGGGGAGCAAACAG
rnacentral:rRNA from 1 species